AUUUGUACAAGUACCUUCCGGGAAUAUCAUCACCUGUAGAAGAAAAUUGUUAAUUUGAUUUAAAUAUUUUCUAAUAAGGGAUCGAAGAUAAGACUUUAUUGUGCGAGAUUCAAAAGAUUGUACACAUUUUCAAGCGAGAUGAACGAUUACCUUGCGAUUCGAUUUAGAGCGCUAUGUAAUUUUAAAAAAAAUUAUACCUAAAAAUUAUAUAUAAAAUUAUUAAAAAAAUAUGCGUUUAAUUUAAAAAUUAUACGUUACGCUACUGUACUUGAAAAAUUUAUGCGGAUCAUAAUAUGAAGAGUAAUUUUUAGAAAAUAAGCGACUGCAGCGAGUUCAUAAGCUUAUUUUUAAUAAAGAUAAUAUAGUGGCGAAUGGGACAAUCCAUAAAGAAAUUAUUAUUAAAUUUAUCUUUUUUGGAAAUUUCUUCCAAUUGAUAAAAGAUACACUUGAAGCGUUAUUUGUACAAGUAACCAUUAAAUUACCAGUGAUAUCUGCAUACAAUAGGCGUUAAAACUUUCAUUAAAGCUAUCGAUAAAACAGUUGAAAAGUUUUAACGUUUAUGUUAUCAAAUCAUUAUACUAUUAUGUCUUUUUAUUGCUACAGGCAUCGGUAAACUAUUUCUUAUUGAAAUGGUUGGGCAUCCUUUUGAUCAAAGUUCGAAGACUUCAUGAUUUUCCAAUUAAACUAAUAGAGGUUUUCAAGUGUGAGUCGUAUUCUUUUACAAGAUAAUGAGACGAAAUACAGGAACCGAAAACUCAAAACAUAAGUAUUCGUAUCGAUUCUAUUUAUAAGUAAACGAGACUGUCGAUAUAGUUGAUAGUAAUACAUAAAAUCAAUUUUCAUGAUGAAAACAAUCGAAAGACUGUAAAAUAUCAAAACUAUGCGGUGUAUUGAAAAAAGAAGAAAACUUUGAGAAAAAGGAAUAAAGAGCGUUUUAAUCGAUGUGGGUUCUAAUAUUAAUAGCUUCGGUGUAAAAUAUAAUUUUAUACAGUCUUGUAGAAAUACUUAAUGAGCUAAAUUUGCACCACAACAACGUUAGUUAACGUAGUUAAGUUAGAACAAUGAAUGAAUGAAUGGGAAAUGUGUACACCACGAGGUGAAAGAAAACUUCAAAUGAAUAGAAAUUUCACGUCUACGAACGUUGUCUUCGAAUUGCAGAUGCGAAAUGUAAAUUUUGACAGUACUAAAGAAAUACCACGAGAUGGAACAACGACUCUGGUGGCUUGACAGAGCAAAAAGUAGGAGACCUACUUCCGAAAAAAGGAAUGCGUCCGAUCUCUGCCUUGGCGACGAUGCUCGGUCCGCCGAGGUAAACAACCGGAAGUGCAUCGAAGAAGCUUGAAUGCGGAGCUAGGGCUAACACGGGGGCAUCCUUUGUUUCCGCUUUACGACCUUUGACCUUCAGGUGAUGAAAUCCCCCGCAGAUGAACAAUGCUCGUAUCAUCCAGCAGAUUAUAAUUCUCAUAUCUCUGUUUUUUCCAUUUUUUUGUUUGUAGUAAAUAUAUUUAAAUAAUAUUAUUUGGUAUAUAUAAUUCUACUAGUUGCUACAUCGUGCAAUCUAUAUUUCCCAAUUUACGAUAUUCAGAACGAUCGUAAAAUUCAGUAGAAUUUCGUUUACAACAUGCAUUAUUCGACAACGUCCUCUAUUUAUAUCUUUCUUUUUUUUUUCUUUUCUAUCAAAUGAAAUUUAGUAAUGUAGAAUAGUCGUGGAUUAAAGAUUUUUGUAGUUCUAGCGAAGAAACUGCAUGAUAUGCAUGUAUAAAUUUAUUAUUUUCCUUUUGGUAACCGAGAUUCUACUGUGCUGAUUAAAAUAAAUUUUUUAUGAAAUUAUUUAUAGCCAAUAGUUAAACUGAUGUAGAAAUGAGGUUAUGCAUAUUGUUUCGAUUAAAAUCGUUACUCGGUUGAUUGGAGGAAGAUAUUCCAGUAAAUGGCAAAAUGAAUUCAUUUUGUACACGUAAUAUAUUUUCGCACUUAUUGUAACAUGCAAAGCAUUUUAACUACUCGAUAUAUUGAUAUUACAAGACAUGCAUGGCCUUUCUCCAAAUCAUUUUGAAAAUUUUUGCGAUAAGAAAAUAAGGAUAUAAUAAUUUUCCUUAAAAGAAAGACUUACUAUGAUAAACAAAAUACACAUUCGUUAGCAUCUACGAAAGAUAACAAGUGCAUUUGCGAAACAAAAAUGUUUA